AUUGAACGCUGGCGGCGUGCUUAACACAUGCAAGUCGAGCGGUAAGGCCCUUUCGGGGGUACACGAGCGGCGAACGGGUGAGUAACACGUGGGUGACCUGCCCUCAGCUCUGGGAUAAGCCUGGGAAACCGGGUCUAAUACUGGAUAUGACUCCAUGACGCAUGUUGUGGGGUGGAAAGCCUUGUGCGGCUGAGGAUGGGCCCGCGGCCUAUCAGCUUGUUGGUGGGGUGAUGGCCUACCAAGGCGACGACGGGUAGCCGGCCUGAGAGGGCGACCGGCCACACUGGGACUGAGACACGGCCCAGACUCCUACGGGAGGCAGCAGUGGGGAAUCUUGCGCAAUGGGCGAAAGCCUGACGCAGCGACGCCGCGUGAGGGAUGACGGCCUCGG
rnacentral:rRNA from 1 species